UAUCACAGUAGCUCCCCCUAGGUC
rnacentral:piRNA from 1 species